GAUGAACGCUGGCGGCGUGCUUAACACAUGCAAGUCGAACGGGAUCGGCUGGAGCUUGCUCCGGCCGUGAGAGUGGCGAACGGGUGAGUAAUGCGUGACCGACCUGCCCCAUACACCGGAAUAGCUCCUGGAAACGGGUGGUAAUGCCGGAUGCUCCGACAUGACGCAUGUCGUGUCGGGAAAGAUUCAUCGGUAUGGGAUGGGGUCGCGUCCUAUCAGCUUGAUGGCGGGGUAACGGCCCACCAUGGCUUCGACGGGUAGCCGGCCUGAGAGGGCGACCGGCCACAUUGGGACUGAGAUACGGCCCAGACUCCUACGGGAGGCAGCAGUGGGGAAUAUUGCACAAUGGGCGCAAGCCUGAUGCAGCGACGCCGCGUGCGGGAUGACGGCCUUCGGGUUGUAAACCGCUUUUGACUGGGAGCAAGCCCUUCGGGGUGAGUGUAC
rnacentral:rRNA from 1 species